GAUGAAGAACGCAGCGAAAUGCGAUAAGUAAUGUGAAUUGCAGAAUUCAGUGAAUCAUCGAAUCUUUGAACGCACAUUGCGCCCGCUGGUAUUCCGGCGGGCAUGCCUGUUCGAGCGUCAUUUCAACCCUCAAGCUCUCCGGAGUUUGGUGUUGGGGCGCCUGGGGCUUUUCGACCUCAGGGCCCUCAAGUCCAACGGCGGGACCGCCAGGACACUGAGCGCAGUAGUAUUAUUUCGCUCGGUAGGAUCUUCCACGGCGGGUCGAUCUGGCCGCUAAACCCCCCAAUUCUCACCAAAGGUUGACCUCGGAUCAGGUAGGAAUACCCGCUGAACUUAAGCAUAUCAAUAAGCGGAGGA
rnacentral:misc_RNA from 1 species